UACGAAGGGGACUAGCGUUGUUCGGAAUCACUGGGCGUAAAGCGCACGUAGGCGGAUGUGUCAGUCAGGGGUGAAAUCCCGGGGCUCAACCUCGGAACUGCCUUUGAUACAGCACGUCUCGAGUCCGGAAGAGGUGGGUGGAAUUCCUAGUGUAGAGGUGAAAUUCGUAGAUAUUAGGAAGAACACCGACGGCGAAGGCAGCUCGCUGGGACGGUACUGACGCUGAGGCGCGAAAGCCAGGGGAGCGAACGGG
rnacentral:rRNA from 1 species